GAUAUGUAACGUUUGCGAGAUGUUUCAGACCCCUACAUGGAUGUUGCAGAAGAGGGCAAAGAUGCACUUUAUAUUAUAAGCAAGCAGACAAAAGACUGCACACGGAUUUUCACACAUACCAUAAAUGUUCUCACAAGGAGCUUUCCAAUUCUAGCAAAGUCUGCUGAUGUUAUAACUGGUGGUGCAACAAUUCUGCUAUAGCAUUUGAUUCUCUGAGAUUUUGAUCAGUAUUAAAAGAUUAUCUGUGCAUGUUUCUGCAAGGAGUCUUGAACAAAAGAAGAGGAUUUGGUGAAUUAAGAAUUACACUGCCCAAAUCUUAUUUAAAAAGGAAGAGAUAAGAGGAAACCAUGCCGAAGAGGAUACCAGCUGCCAGAAUGAAAUAUUUUCUCAGAACCUGACACAUCACAUGGUAUUCUUCAAAAUAAGUGUGCAGCAAAUUAGACUGAAAAUGACACCAAGUGGCCGGCGAGAGGCAUUGAAUCCUGAGAAUCAAGUAGAAUCCAAGGAAGACCGUGAGGAACGUGUUCUGGCCAUGUUGGGUAUCAUUGGGGCAAUCUUGAAUCUACUGGUCAUCAUCUUUGUCUACAUAUACACCACUAUAUAAAGAGAUGGAGUGUAACGGUUACUGCUGUUUAACUGUAGACCGUUGUGGCAGGGAAUUGUGACCUUUAUGGAGCUAGACUACAGCCAAAGUGCAGAACAUACAUAUAAAUUAUCAAAACCUAGAACUACACACAAUCCAUCAUCAGGUGACAAUGGAUAAUACUGAUAAACGGCACCUGUGAGCUAAAACAAUAUAAAGGCGUGCCAUAAGCCUGUGAAGUCAAAUGUCUGUUUACAUACAGUACUUUACUUUACUGCAGGUUAUUCUUCCAAAAUUAACAGAGUUAAGCACAACAAGGUUCAGAAAUGCUGCGUCCUUCAAACCAUCUCAAUAUUCAAAAAGUGUCUCCAACGGAUGGAACAUAUUCUUAUAAUGACUCUAAAAUGCUCAGCGAUGAGGUUUUUUUGAGCACUGGAAAUUAUCUUCAUGGCUCUAACUUAGCCAAUAGUGCAAAAUUGAGUUCUACCAGGUCUUUGCUUGCUUUGCUUCUGUAUCAACAUAUUGUGCAUCUUUUUGAAAGUUAAAACAUUUUUGAGACACAGUGGUGUCCCUUGUCAUGCACGAAACAAAUCUUAUGUCCCACUGCAGAUAAUUUGUUGUUGGGACAACAGCAAAAAAAAAUGACAGCAAACAUUUUAAAUAGCUACUUGUACAGUGAUGCUGGAUAUCGCUGCAGGAUUUGAAGCUCUUACUAAUCCAUUCUUUAUUAAAUUCUCUUCCUUAAGAGAA